AUUGAACGCUGGCGGCAUGCCUUACACAUGCAAGUCGAACGGUAACAGGUCUUCGGAUGCUGACGAGUGGCGAACGGGUGAGUAAUACAUCGGAACGUGCCUAGUAGCGGGGGAUAACUACUCGAAAGAGUGGCUAAUACCGCAUGAGAUCUACGGAUGAAAGCAGGGGAUCGCAAGACCUUGUGCUACUAGAGCGGCCGAUGGCAGAUUAGGUAGUUGGUGGGAUAAAAGCUUGCCAAGCCGACGAUCUGUAGCUGGUCUGAGAGGACGAUCAGCCACACUGGGACUGAGAAACGGCCCAGACUCCUACGGGAGGCAGCAGUGGGGAAUUUUGGACAAUGGGCGCAAGCCUGAUCCAGCAAUGCCGCGUGCAGGAUGAAGGCCUUCGGGUUGUAAACUGCUUUUGUACGGAACGAAAAGCCCCGGGUUAAUACCCUGGGGUCAUGACGGUACCGUAAGAAUAAGCACCGGCUAACUACGUGCCAGCAGCCGCAGUAA
rnacentral:rRNA from 1 species